rnacentral:rRNA from 1 species
AAAAAAAAGAGUUUGAUCCUGGCUCAGAAUGAACGCUGGCGGCGUGCUUUACACAUGCAAGUUGAGCGAGGCCGGUAGCAAUACCGAGUCGAGCGGCGAACGGGUGAGUAACGCGUGGAUGACCUGCCCUCGAGUGGGGAAUAACCCGGGGAAACUCGGGCUAAUACCGCAUAAGACCGAGAGGUGAAAGCGGGGUCGCAAGGCCUCGUGCUCGAGGAGGGGUCCGCGUUCGAUUAGCUAGUUGGUAGGGUAAUGGCCUACCAAGGCGACGAUCGAUAGCCGGCCUGAGAGGGUGAUCGGCCACACCUGGAACUGAGACACGGUCCAGACUCCUACGGGAGGCAGCAGUGGGGAAUUUUGCGCAAUGGGCUAACGCCUGACGCAGCAACGCCGCGUGGAGGAUGAAGGUCUUUGGAUUGUAAACUCCUGUCAGCAGGGAAAAGCGAUUUAGGUGAAUACCCUAGAGAGUUGAUUGUACCUGCAGAGGAAGCCCCGGCUAACUCUGUGCCAGCCGCCGCAGUAAG